CUUUUUAUACAUUUAAUACAUGUUCGCUGAGGAAAAGCAGCAAAAAGGCUAUAACAAGAAUUGCCACCUAAAAAACCCUCACCACGAGCAUGUUGUACGCACUAUUUUUUCUCUCUCCCCCCAGACACCGCAGAUUCAUCAGUGACAAGACAGGAGGGUUCCCACUCUUGAGGCGCUUACAUGUCCCUGGGAAACGUGAUACACGGUCUUUGUAACGUCUAGUGACAGACAAGACGUAACUCUCAGUACACUUGCUCUCUCCUCUGUCUCCAUCUCCGGCCGUUGACUUCCUCCCCAAGGGUCCUUCCUUUUCCUUCGUGUGUAUUUGCUGUGGCGGAGGCAGGCUCCGUAUGCGACUCAAAGGUGAUGGACACACCUCUGGGGUGAGCUUUGUGUCGGGCAGGCGAGAACACAGCCCCCACUCUUGCCAGAGGCAGGAUCCCUUGGGGUUACUGUCUGGAGCCCUGAAGUAGGCCUGCGCCCCAAGCCCUGGACCAGAAAAGCCGCACCCCAGAGUAUGGAAUAUGGAAGGAAGGGCCCCUGCAGGACGUGCCCCCCUGGCCUGUCGCAGGGGUCUGCCCACGUGGCUACUACUGAGCUGUGGGCGGUGGGCCGUGGGUGGCAGGACCCAGUUUGCUCCCACAGGGCAGGGGCCACCCAUUGCCCUUUCUUGCAUCUCAAGGGGUGCGAAGGAGGAGGAGGGGGGUAGUGAGGUGGCGAGGAAGGAAGGGAAAGUGAGAGAGGAGGGGAGGAGAACCAGCCUUGUUUCCAUGGCAACCACACAUGUGAGCCAGCUGCUGUUGCCAUGGAAACAAGGGGAGCCUGCUCAAAGGCUGUGCUGUCUCAGGGGAGACACAAUUUUUGACAAAAAAAUACCCUUUGAUAAAAAUAAAGAAAAAAUAAUGAAAGCCACCCUCUCUGGGAUUGGGGGCACUGCCGAGUGAGCUGAUGCAGCUGAUGCAGGUGUGGCGUUCUCACUGUCAGGAUGAGGACACAGCCUCGGAGAGGUCGAGCCCCUCUCCCCAGUUAACACAGCUCACAGUAGCCCAACAAGAAUUCGAGCCCUGGCCCCAGAACAGAAAGCUAACGCCAUUUCAAAGGAAGGAAAGAACAAGCUCCAUCUCCUCCAGGAAGCCUUCCUAUCUCUACAGAGGAACUAGGGAUUAGGAGCAGCCACCAUGCUGGCACUUCCUGUGCACAUUUUCGCAUUCUCGAAACAGCCCUGGCAGGGAGGUGUUCUUCUUCUUAUCCACAUUCAAUAGAGGUGGACUCUGAAGUGCCGUCUCCCGCUGCGCUUCCCCAGCAGAGAGAAGGCCCCUCUGCUCCUCCAACAUGAUCUGUAAUUUCCGGCAGACAUUUGAGGUCCCUGACAUCUGCAUAAUGUGGGCCAGUCUCUUAGCAACGGCGAACAGCUGUCUGGCAUUUCCAAGAUUAAACUGUAACUAUACACGGUCCUUGCCAGGGGGAGGGGGAGGGGGAAGGGGAUAAACACUGCCUCCUGGCAUUUUCAAACUCAUUUAGCUUUUAUUCAUUUCCUGCCUCCAGUAAAGAGGCCAGGGAUUCGGGCUGGGCCAGGCUGUUGCUGCCCCUGCCUCGCGGCUGCUGAGAUGGCAGAUUGCUCCUCACCCAGAUCCGCUUGCCCCGCACCAGGGGAGCCGGCCUUUGUGGUUUCUAGUGGAUGGAUCUGCUCUAGGUGCCGCCGUCGGGGCACACACCUCAGAGGCGCCGGCGGGAGGAGAGGCCGUGCGGCCCUUGGGGGGAGCCCCGGCCGCCCCAUCUGGCUCCUGUGGCUAAGAGCCGUGUGACCUGGGGCCGGCCCCUUUACCCGUCUACACCUCCAUCUCCCCGUCUGUAGGUAGAAGGAGAUAAUCCUAUCGCCCCGAGGGGGCUGAAAUAAGCACUCAGGUCAUAGAGGCAGCGCUGGUGAUCGGCCUCUCGGUUCCUGCCCUCGGUCACCCUCCCGCCCGGUCCCGUGUCAGCCCCUCUGCUACCCGGGCCUAGGCAGGCCCCGUCGGGUGCUCCGGGAGCCGCCGCCUUGAACCCCAGUGCCCGGCAGCCCCGGGGCGAUGACGCUUCUGCCCCGUAGGAAUUCAGCAGAGCUCAGCAGUCCCCAGCAGGGCCCUCUCGGCCGCCGCCCGGCAGGAGGUGUCCUAUACCCUGGCCCUCCCAGGCCCGGGCAGCCCCAGGUCCCAUCCCCUCCACCGCCGGCUCCUGCCAUUUGGCUGGAGCUCCUGAACUCGUGAAUGCGGUGUUUGGGUUU